rnacentral:rRNA from 1 species
UCAGACGAUGCGUCAUGCAUAUCAAUAAGCGGAGGAAAAGAAACUAACAAGGAUUCCCUCAGUAACGGCGAGUGAAGCGGGAAGAGCUCAAAUUUGAAAUCUUGAAAGGUCACCUUUCACGAAUUGUAGUUUAAAGAAGUGUUUUCUGUUACGAUCGUAAUAUAAGUUCUUUGGAAUAGGACAUCACAGAGGGUGAGAAUCCCGUCUAUGAUUGCGAUUUGUAGCUUUGUGAUACACUUUCAAAGAGUCGGGUUGUUUGGGAAUGCAGCCCAAAACGGGAGGUAAAUUUCUUCUAAGGCUAAAUAUUGGCGAGAGACCGAUAGCGAACAAGUACCGUGAGGGAAAGGUGAAAAGAACUUUGAAAAGAGAGUUAAAUAGUACGUGAAAUUGUCAAAAGGGAAGCGUUUAACACCAGUGUUGUUUUCUGAAAAUCAACCUCUGUUAGCUUUAUGCAUGUUUGUUUAGACCUAAUCAGCUAUCUUGCAUGUUCUAUUGUUUGCAGUGGUGCACUUUUCAGUUUACAGGUCAACAUCAGUUUUUUUUACCGUAAAAAGGUUAAAGAAAGGUAGCUCAUGGCUCCGGUCGUGAGUGUUAUAGUCUUUUUCCUAUGCGGUAGGAGAGACUGAGGUCUGCAGUGUAGGCUAUUUGGCUAGAUACUCAGGUGCUAUGUGAUACCAUUUCAUAAACAACUUGUUGAUUAUGUUUUGUCUAUUGCAUACUCGCUUGUACUAUCAUACCUACGCUUAGGAUGUUGAAGACUCUACAGAGAUA